rnacentral:misc_RNA from 1 species
AGUUGGUUAGAGCGCGCGCUUGAUAAGCGUGAGGUCGGAGGUUCAAGUCCUCCCAGGCCCACCACUAACAGCAACCCGAAGGGUUGUCACUUGCCGGUCGAUGCGAUCGGGCACUAUCAGGGGCCGUAGCUCAGCUGGGAGAGCGCCUGCUUUGCAAGCAGGAUGUCGUCGGUUCGAUCCCGUCCGGCUCCACCAACCAUCUUCUGUGAAGGUGGGACGUGUAGAGUAGAGAUGAUCGCCGGUGGUCAGUCAUUCGAAAAGAGUUUGCGUUAAGCCUCGUGCUUGGCGCCUGUUCUGUUUGACAUCGUAAAGAGAAGAUUUGUUCGAACUUCAUGAUCCGAAAGGGCCAUGAUUUGUCGCAAGGGACGCUCAAUCCCUUGCCUAUGAUGGGUCUGCCUAACCGCGCCCUCGAACGGAUCUCGAGAAGCUGGUCUUUUUGUGCCAAUUCCAUUGAAGCGGGUCCCGCACAGGAUCUGGUUCGAGCGACAAUCCUUCGGAUUGCGCUUAGCUAACCUCGUAAGGGAGAGGCUGAAGCGACGAUUUCUUCGAAAUCGCGCGAUGGGUAUUGGCAAUGAGAACGAUCAAGUGUCUUAAGGGCAAUUGGUGGAUGCCUUGGCAUGCACAGGCGAUGAAGGACGUGAUACGCUGCGAUAAGCUACGGGGAGGUGCGAAUACCCUUUGAUCCGUAGAUCUCC